CCCAUAUGCAUAUUACGUUUGUUGUUGUGAUCCGGUGAAUUCAUAACUAGAAAACCGUGAAGAAAUUGUGGCAGUAAUAGUCAAUGCUUUCAACCUUUUUUUGACCAGUGUACCAAAACCUCCCGAGAUUCCAAAUAAUAUAGAAAUUGUGCAACCGAAAGAAAUGUCCGCACCAACCAGACAAUGUGGCAUGUGGAUAUUAUGUUAUGAGAAUAUUGAAGGAUUACAUUGAACAUUCACGACCUGGACGUUACUUGAAGAAAUAGCUAAACACUACGCCAUAUACAUCAGCACAGAUUAAUGAAAUGCGACAACACUGGGUGAACCAUAUGCUACCGAUAAUUCAAAGUCAUCGUCGCACA